rnacentral:lncRNA from 1 species
UCAUGCGCGAGAUGUGCAUAAAUACCAGCCCUGCCUCUUCCAUUUCAUGCUCAAUACAUUGGAGCUCUUGUUAUCAAGGGCUUUUCUUUUGUUCUCUUGUAGUGGCUUUUUUUCUGCUUCAUUGGGAUAUUCUCAUAGUUGCUGAUGAAUUUGUCAGGAGUGUUUACAGGUUCAACCUAACUCACCUCUGAUUUUUUGUGAUUGUGUUUGCUUUCUGGUUGAUAGUCUAUAUUGAAUUUUGGUUUGGGGCUUUCUCCUUUGAUGUAUUACAAUUCUCUCCAUUGGUUGUUUCUUUUGUGUUUCUGCUCUUUUUUUUAAUUAUGCUUUUAGCCUUCUGUGAUCUGCUUUUGGCCAUUUUUAUGGACAUUGUUACCUCCAGUUCAGUAAUGUCUAACCAAAAUCUUGUGUACACUCGCGCACACACACACACACACGUCUCAUACCCAAGAAGAAAUAAAGCGCUGAUAAAUUUUUGGUUCUUGGUAUGACUUAACAAAUAAGUUAUUGACGAUGAUUGAAUUUCCAUGUUUUGCAGGGCUUGGAGAUAGAAAAUGGAAAUCCCUUAUGAAUCUGAUGGGAGAAGCUCUUGGGGGGAAUGAAGGAGUUGCAGAUGCAAUGAACAAGAAUAAGAGGCACCUAAGUGGUGGUAUUCCUCCCCUUUAUAAAGAAACAGGUAUUGCUGCCCUCCGCCCCCGAGAAAAUAAAAAUGAAACGAUAAGAAACAGAGUUUGAAGCUGUAUCUUGCUUUCACCUUCAGUUUAGUUCUGUAAACCUUUCCCUAAACACGAUCCAUUUAUCCCCCCGUUCCCACGAGGAGUCGAGAACUGAUGACGAGCAUAUCUUACUUUCAGAAGUUUGAAGCUGUUGGUUAAUUCUUGAUGUUUGUUUGCAACACUGAUGCAAAUUGUUUGUUGUGUAGGAUGGUACUAUCCAUUCAUUACGAUAUGAAGAAAUCGCUUGUUAACCCGACGUCAUAUGGGCUGGAAGACUCAAAUGAGGCGGAGGGAAGCUGCGUCUUUAGGCGAGGGCGCAAGCUCGAUGCUAACACGAGGCCUCGUCUACCGGCGUCUAGCUUCUUUACCUCACGUCUUCCAUUCCCGCCUUUGCCUGUCUCCGAGAGAUCGAGGCAAGACCACAGGCUCGAGGCUGUGUCAUCACCAAAAUCAAGAAGAUGGACUACAUCUUCUGUCUAAGAAUAUAAGAUGCGCCUCAUUACUAUGUUUAGAGUUUUUAGUUAUUUAAAUUCAUAUGGUUUGCAUCGCUGCUGCCUGCUGGUUUUUUGCGAUGGUAACUGCAGUAGCAUAAGGUUUGUCUGUGUCAAUUUUCUAGUGUAGAUGUGAUGACUUCAACCCCCAACUUAAUGAUUGGAAGGGAAGCGUCCUAUCUAGUCCUAUCGAGAAACGUCUUAGCAAUUGAAUUGUGCUUUUUAGGGUGUGUUCUAUUUGGUUGUAAAUUUAUCAUGAGAAAUGAAUGAAAAAGAAAAAGAUGGAAUUUUUUUUUAUCA